rnacentral:rRNA from 1 species
GACGAACGCUGGCGGCGUGCUUAACACAUGCAAGUCGAACGGGCCUGUCUUCUUUUUUGGGGGGUGGGUUGAGUGGCGAACGGGUGAGUAUCACGUGAGUAACCUGCCCUUCGGUCCUGGAUAACCGCUUGAAAGGGCGGCUAAUACGGGGUGGUCCGGUUGGUCCGCAUGGGCUGGUCGGGAUAGAUUCACUGUUUUUGGUGUUUCGGCGGGGGAUGGGCUCGCGGCCUAUCAGCUUGUUGGUGGGGUGAUGGCCUACCAGGGCGGUGACGGGUAGCCGGCCUGAGAGGGUGGGCGGCCACACUGGGACUGAGAUACGGCCCAGACUCCUGCGGGAGGCAGCAGUGGGGGGUAUUGCACAAUGGGCGGAAGCCUGAUGCAGCGACGUCGCGUGAGGGAUGGAGGCCUUCGGGUUGUGAACCUCUGUUUCCGGUGGUGAAGGCCCUGUCCGUGUGGUGGGGUUGACGGUAGCCGGGGAUGAAGCGCCGGCUAACUACGUG